AUGGCUGAAGGGAGCGCAAGGAGCUACCAGAGGCAGAAUGAAGAGACUGAAGCAAUGACAGCCACUUAUUUUGAGGAAUUACGUGUCAUUGAUGACUAUGCCAAAACAUUUUGUAUUAGAAUUAGUGAUGAUAUUGAUUACCCCAAAUGGACACUUUGCUCAUAGGUGAUGCUACUGAAUUAAUAUACAGGUACAGCUCCACCUACUUAUUAGUAGGUAAGACUCUUGGCUUAAAGGACAAGAAUGUGCAGAUUUAUCAAAUGGGCUUGAGAAAAUACAAUUCAGAAUAUUGGUGAAAGUAUUCUUUACCUGUGGGUGGAGAAAAUAAGAGAU
rnacentral:lncRNA from 1 species